CAGCCGAACGGCAAGCCUUUUAGCAAUAGAAGGCCUAGAGUGGCGUAAGGGUGCGUAACACGUAUGCAAUCUGCCCUCAACAGGAGGAUAGCUCCCCGAAAGGGGAAUUAAGACUCCAUAAGAUCACGCGAAGGCAUCUGAGAGUGAUUAAAGUACAAGCGGUUGAGGAUGAGCAUGCGCAUGAUUAGUUAGUUGGCGGGGUAACGGCCCACCAAGACGAUGAUCAUUAGGGGAACUGAGAGGUUGAUCCCCCACACUGGCACUGAGAUACGGGCCAGACUCCUACGGGAGGCAGCAGUAGGGAAUAUUGGACAAUGGGUGCAAGCCUGAUCCAGCCAUGCCGCGUGCAGGAAGACGGCCUUCUGGGUUGUAAACUGCUUUUGCCAGGGGAUAAAAACACUGUGCGCAGUGGAUUGAAGGUACCUGGUGAAUAAGCCACGGCUAACUACGUGCCAGCAGCCGCGGUAAUACGUAGGUGGCAAGCGUUGUCCGGAUUUAUUGGGUUUAAAGGGUGCGUAGGCGGCCCUGUAAGUCAGUGGUGAAAUACGGCAGCUCAACUGUCGAGGUGCCAUUGAUACUGCAGGGCUUGAGUACAGACGAGGUAGGCGGAAUUGACGGUGUAGCGGUGAAAUGCUUAGAUAUCGUCAAGAACACCGAUAGCGAAGGCAGCUUACUAGGCUGUAACUGACGCUGAGGCACGAAAGUGUGGGGAUCAAACAGGAUUAGAUACCCUGGUAGUCCACACUGUAAACGAUGAUUACUCGAUGUUGGCGAUACACAGCCAGCGUCUUAGCGAAAGCGAUAAGUAAUC
rnacentral:rRNA from 1 species